rnacentral:rRNA from 1 species
AUGGCGAAAUAUUAUGCUAACCGCAUAAGGGAGAAGUACUCUGACAUAAUUCCUGUGAUCGUUGAGAAGGCUGGGAAGAGUGAUAUUCCUGACAUUGACAAGAAAAAGUACCUUGUUCCUGCUGACCUUACAGUUGGACAGUUCGUGUACGUUGUCCGGAAGCGGAUCAAGCUCAGUGCUGAGAAGGCCAUCUUCAUCUUUGUGAAGAACACUCUUCCACCGACAGUAUUAUGCUCUCGAAUGGACAAUCUUAUAUCAGAACAAUACAAUAGUCAGAGUACACAGAACUUUAUGAUUCACAUUCAAUAUUUUGUAACAAUAAUCACACUCAUUUACUGAACUCCACUCACAUGAUUACAAUCUGGAUACGACAUUCAGUCACACUAUUCACUAGAGUAUACACUCAAUUCAAAUCAAUUACAAGCUCAAAUUGGCAUUUCGCCUGAGUGUUGCCACUUCUCUGUUGUUUCGGGUUGUCUGCACAACUGAAACUCUAGGCACCUGUUCAGCAAGGAAAGCUAGCACCGAACCAAUGCAACACGAGCCAAGCAGCAGAGCAAUCUUCCGAGAAGAAUCGGCGGCGGCGACGAUGCUUGGUAUGCGGCUCAACGGUCUCGACAGCUCCGGUGGCGUCGCACCCUAUACACGGCCAGGGCUGACUCCGUCGCCUCAACAGCUAGGCAGCGUGACGCCUUGGACGGGGCAAUAGCUGGCUCCGCCGCUCCACGGCUACGCUGCUCGCGCCCUGAUGGAGCAGUGGCUGCUCUUCACCGCCGGCGUAGCGAACCCUAGGAGAUACAAGAGCGACUGACUGACAACGAUGGCGAUGGAGAGAGCCGAGAGCGAUGGGUAGCGUACUAG